UGCCAUUCUUUCUUUUUUUUCUGGUAAAGAAGGAGAGUUAUGGUCUCAGCAGUGUGUAUACCUUACAGGUGAUAUAAUAUAUGCUCAGUCCUGUUUUGAAACCCAUUUAUCAUGGAUGACAGCAGAGGAAAGUGCUUUUAGUCCUGUUAUCGUCGUGACAAUCUGUGGUAACCUCUCGCCAACACCACCCACAUGUAUUCAGAAAUGCACAUAGAUACACGAGACACUGAAAACUGAGGCUGGAUGUGGCCGCGCUGUGAGUAAUUUACAGCACCAUUCGGUGGGAAGUGAGGAGAAAACUUGCACUUUUACCUACAAAUAACACCUUUAGUAUGUUUUUCUGAGCAGGAGUCAUCAAAGCCUCUGAGUCAACAUCCCAUAUGGAUAUGAGUUACAGAGAACAAGUGGGAGUGAAAUAGCAGGAGGUGAACAAAUGGAAAAAGAAGAAUCCAUGCUUCAAAGAUACCAGAAGCACAUUAUGGCUGCCCUCAUCCCUCUCAGCUUCCUUCAACUGUCACGACUGCACACAAGAUUGAAACCGGACACCUUUUGCCUAAGGGACGUUUUGUAUGUCUGACAGAAUUUGAAAUUGAAAGUGUUUUUUCAUACAGAAAACACAGAGUUAA